rnacentral:lncRNA from 1 species
CUGGCUGCGGCUGCGCUCCCCGCCGCCCGCCUGCGCCUCCGGGGCCGGCCCUGCAGAUCAGUUGGCCUUAUUUCCUCAGUGGAAAUCUACUCACUAUGAUGUGGUAGUUGGCGUGUUGUCAGCUCGCAAUAACCAUGAACUUCGAAACGUGAUAAGAAGCACCUGGAUGAGACAUUUGCUACAGCAUCCCACAUUAAGUCAACGUAAAAGCUCUGAAAUGGGCAUGAGGAAACGUGCAUGUGCGAGGUGAAGAUCAGUAACUGAUGUUAAUGCCAACACAUCUCUCAGUGUGCUUGUGAAGUUCAUAAUAGGUGCUCAUGGCUGUGAAGUGCCUGUGGAAGACAGGGAGGAUCCUUAUUCCUGUAAACUACUCAACAUCACAAAUCCAGUUUUGAAUCAGGAAAUUGAAGCGUUCAGUCUGUCCGAAGACACUUCAUCGGGGCUGCCUGAGGAUCGAGUUGUCAGCGUGAGUUUCCGAGUUCUCUACCCCAUCGUUAUUACCAGUCUUGGAGUGUUCUACGAUGCCAAUGAUGUGGGUUUCCAGAGGAACAUCACUGUCAAACUUUAUCAGGCAGAACAAGAGGAGGCCCUCUUCAUUGCUCGCUUCAGUCCUCCAAGCUGUGGUGUGC